CCUACGGGUGGCAGCAGUAGGGAAUAUUGCUCAAUGGGGGAAACCCUGAAGCAGCAACGCCGCGUGGAGGAUGACACUUUUCGGAGCGUAAACUCCUUUUCUUGGGAAAGAAUUAUGACGGUACCCAAGGAAUAAGCACCGGCUAACUCCGUGCCAGCAGCCGCGGUAAUACGGAGGGUGCAAGCGUUACUCGGAAUCACUGGGCGUAAAGGACGCGUAGGCGGAUUAUCAAGUCUCUUGUGAAAUCUAACGGCUUAACCGUUAAACUGCUUGGGAAACUGAUAAUCUAGAGUAAGGGAGAGGCAGAUGGAAUUCUUGGUGUAGGGGUAAAAUCCGUAGAGAUCAAGAAGAAUACCCAUUGCGAAAGCGAUCUGCUGGAACUUAACUGACGCUAAUGCGUGAAAGCGUGGGGAGCAAACAGGAUUAGAUACCCGAGUAGUC
rnacentral:rRNA from 1 species